UGAAGUUAUGAAGUCAGGAUA
rnacentral:miRNA from 1 species